UACAUUUUAUUUUAAUAAGAAUAGUUAGUUUUGGUCUAUCAGGUUUUGAUGUAG
rnacentral:tRNA from 1 species